rnacentral:rRNA from 1 species
UACGUAGGGUGCGAGCGUUGUCCGGAAUUACUGGGCGUAAAGAGCUCGUAGGUGGUUUGUCACGUCGUCUGUGAAAUUCCGGGGCUUAACCUCGGGCGUGCAGGCGAUACGGGCAAUACUUGAGUGCUGUAGGGGAGACUGGAAUUCCUGGUGUGGCGGUGAAAUGCGCAGAUAUCAGGAGGAACACCAAUGGCGAAGGCAGGUCUCUGGGCAGUUACUGACGCUGAGGAGCGAAAGCAUGGGUAGCGAACAGGAUUA